rfam:Rattus norvegicus chromosome 18, whole genome shotgun sequence.
GGGGAUUUAGCUCAGUGGUAGAGCGCUUGCCUAGCAAGCACAAGGCCCUGGGUUCGGUCCUCAGCUCCA